AAAGGGAAAAGCUUUUUUGAGUAUUGAUUUGGCCUAAUUGAGGUGGGCCUUGUCGAGCGAAGGUGAUUGUUAUUUGUGGGUACAAGGUGCCAGACAUGACGAUUUGGAAAUUGACUCAUGAUUUGUGGUUACGAGGUGUGGUGCCUUGGGGUAACUCUUGUUGCAAGUCCAUGCGUUGGGAAUGAUUUGAUUAAUUGAGCUGCCAUCUGUUUUCCUUAUUUGAGUUCAUUCAUAUCUCUUUGGUGUUGUUACUGCUUUAUUCCCAUUUACUUCUUGCUGCUAUUUAUGCUUCUAUUAUUUUCAUUAUUGGUUGUAAAUCAAUAAUCUUUUCGUUAUUAGUCAUACAUUGAUGUUCUUUCCAUUGUUAGCUUCAUGUUAUAUCUUGCACAGGUUUAUAUGUCUAGUGGGUGUCUUGAUCUGGCCUCGUCACUACUCUACCGAGGUUUGACUUGAUACUUACUGGGUACCGCUAUGGUGUACUCAUGCUACGCUUCUGCAGUGAUGUAUUUGAUAUUUCUAGUUUUUCAUUUCCAUUGUUUACUAUUAUUUCGGGACAAUGAUGUACUUGAUAUUUCUAGUUACUCUCAGAAAAGCUUAUGUCUUGUA